UCCACCAGUGUACAAAUACAAGUCCCCACCGCCACCUCCUCCAGUUUACAAAUCUCCACCGCCACCAAUUUACAAGUACAAGUCACCCCCACCACCUCCUCCGGUAUACAAGUCUCCUCCGCCACCUGUUUACGAGUACAAGUCUCCUCCACCACCUCCUCCAGUGUACAAGUCUCCACCACCUCCAGUUUACAAGUACAACUCACCACCACCUCCUCCCCCAGUUUACCAAUCUCCACCACCACCAGUUUACAAAUACAACUCACCACCACCUCCUCCCCCAGUUUACCAGUCUCCACCUCCACCCUAUCAUCACUACUACGGUUCUCCUCCUCCUCACCACUACUAAGCAAGUGCAUCUAAGUUUUGAGGUAAUAAUACCUAUCCAAAACUUUAUCAACACAAACUGCCAUGUAUAUCAUGCUAAGGACGUACACUUGAUCCAUGAAAAUGACUUGUAGAAGAUUUUUUUUAAGAACCAAAGAAAUACAUUAUUUUUUCGGUCUGUUUUCAAGAAUUUGAGCAGUAUACAGAUUAAAGAGUGUUUUUUUUUUUAAACUUGCUUAUCAACUUAGAAAUGCACAUAGCUGAAAGCCAACUGAAUAUUUGCAGGCAAAGGAGAAGACAAUCGGUGUUUGCGACCUUCAAGAAGAUGUAGAAGAAUAAGAAUAAAAGCCCAAUGCGAGGAUGAUUCCAAGUUUCUACGUUACCAUUUCUACAUCUAAAUUGACUCUAGCUCCUGAGUUCCAUGUUUAUGGGGUUUGUACCGUUUUACGUACCAUGCAGUGCAUGCUUGUAAGGUUUUCUGUCCUGUUGGCAAACUGCAGGUCCAUAUAAUAAAAGAAUACUAUUUAUAUUACGACACUUUUCUCUCUUUCUCUUAUAUUUUGUCUUUAAUAUUGUUGAUCAUUUUUUUUUAUUUAUCAAAAGUAUCAAAUGUUUAGGUAAUUUGGUCUAAUGCUAAUUGUUUUACUUCUCUUUUUCACCUACACCCCUUUUCAACUCAAAGGAUGCUAUAGUUUGUGAUAAUUGUUUAAGACCGAAGCAUGAUACUAAUAAAUAUCUCAUUGAAAGUCAAGGAAACUAACAUUAUGAAAAGUGUAAAUCUUGAUUUGAUGAAACUAUUUAUUCGUGGAAUUUAGAGAUACAAAACUCAAAUUGUGACGGUGCUGUUGCUAAAUUAUUAAGGACAUUAUCACCACUAUUUUUCCCUUACUAGUUUCAACUGCAAUGAUCUCAAUCUUUUUGUGACUAAUUCUUUUCUUAAUAAUUUAUAAAUACAAAACUCACAAAGAAUAUGUGACUAAUUCUUUCCUUUCGUCUUCUAAAGAAAAUGGCAACUGUUAGUUUAUCAAGGGAAAAAGGAUCGACAUCAGUUGUUAUUGAAACUAGUAAGGAAAAAAUAAUGGUGAUAAUGUCCUUAAUAAUUUAACAACAGCACCAUCAGAAUUUGAGCUUUGUAUCUAUAAAUUCCACGAAUAAAUAGUUUCAUCAAAUCAAGAUUUACACUUUUCAUAAUGUUAAGUUUCCUUGACUUUCAAUGAGAUAUUUAUUAGUAUCAUGCUUCGGUCUUAAACAAUGAUCACAAACUAUAGCAUCCUUUGAGUUGAAAAGCGAAGUAGGUGAAAAAGAGAAGUAAAAAAUACAAUUAGCAUUCCCUCAAAUCGUAGAAAGUUAGGUAGCAUUAUAGACAAGUUGAUAGCCGUAAUGAUACUAAAAAUCAGGCAAAAGCCAGCAAUUUUACAUUUCAAAAUUCACCUAUCCAAUAACUAAUUCGAUGGCUUGCUACAUGGUCAAUCUUUGGACCCCUUCCUGCCACCACAUAUCCCUUUCCUCAAUCAGGGGCUUCUACAAUUACCAGUUCCAAUUGUAUGGUAUAGUGUAAAUAUCAACAAAUCAGAUGUAGACGCUAAUUUAAUAAAUGUGGAUGCUAAGACAACAACAUACAAAAACAUAAUAAAUUUUGGCAUUCCUUAAAAAAAUUAAGUCCCCAAAUCAAUCUCAUACACCCAAUUUCUAAUUUAAUUUAACCCAUUCCCUCUAUUAACUACACCAUACAAUACAAUCGAACCCAUUCCCUUCUAAUUUCUUCACAAAAUGCACCUUUCAUCACCGACAUGAUCUUUACCCUAGAAGACUAUUCACCGACUCUCCAUUGACGUCAGAAAAUCUAAGAGUAAUUCUACUUUACCCUAAGAUUGAUAUCAACGAGACAAUAAUGACAAUUUAGAAUUAUUACACGCCUCUUCUUAAUAGGAAAAAGAAAUACAGAAGAAAGUCAGGCCAGGUCUAAUUCUUUUUCAAAGGCAAUACAAUAUUACGAAAUCAAGCAGUCAUUCAUACAAAUAUUUCAUAGUCACCGGCCGGGGUUUGCUGAGUAGAAAAGUUUAUACAAAAACUUAAUAUUAUAUUGUUUAAGAGUUAACAAUUUAGAGCUUAAUCUCCUUGUACUUUGGACUAAACUCGAACGUGAAAGGAAAUCCCAAAACCAUAUUGGGCAUGAAUUCACACUUAAUAGACCCAAAAGAAGAUGGCGACUGGUGAAAGGCAGUGGAGACUGGUGGAGAGAUUUGAGGAAUAGAAGCAGACGGAAAAGCAACAAAUUUUUGCCGAAAAACGGUCACUUUCAUGGUUAAUUUUGCUACUCUCUAAUUGUACUUGACCAAAUACAACAAUUUCAUGGAGUUUGAUACACAAGCCCAAAUACACGAGAGUGUGUAACCUGAAUUGUUACUUAUACAUUAGUGUGUAAUAGAACGGCAAGCAUUAUGGUGGUCAUUGAGCAACUUAUAGAAGAAAUAGUCCUAUAAGCUGUUCGAUGACCAAUCGCAACUUGCUAAUUGGAUGACUAAUAUAGCUCUAGCUGUAAUGUUUUAAUUAAAUUCCAUCACUAACGUUGGGAUGACUUUUUAACCAAAAAAAAAAAAAAAGCCUUAGUUCAAGCUUUUCCCCUUAUUGUGCAUUUUUUAAAACAUUUGAUAGGCACUGCAAAUCUGUCAUUUUGGACAUCAACCCAUAUCCAACACAAGAUUAAAUUAAUAUUAGAAAAAAUUAUUACGUAAUUGGAAAAAAAAAAAGAAGAGACUAAUUUUCAUUGAAACCCACCGACAAACUAAGCGUGUCCAUAGCUUUUGAUUAGUUCAUUGCCGAUCACAUGGAGUAAAGAUUGUGCUCUUUCCCUUUCCCCCCCUUUUGGAAUCGAUACUGUGGAGAAUUGGCUUUUUCCCUCCUUUUUUUCUUUUCUUUUCUUUUCUUUCCUUCUGUACUUUGCAAAACAUAGGUAAAAAUAUGAAAUCCGAAGCAUUCUUUAAUUGGGAUUAAGUAUUGUUCUUGAAAUUAAAAAAAAAAAGAAAGAAAGAACAACAAAAAUCCCAAUCUGGGUUGAUUGUUGAGCUCUAGAUUGGCUGCAUCGUGCUUCCAUAGAAGUUCUCUUAGUGUGAUACGCUGCUUUCAAUCAGUUUUAACACGGGAAAAAGAAAAGACAUGAAAAGCAAAUUUUGUGGGGAUAAUUUCGGUAACCUCCCCUGAAGUUUUUGACUAUUUUACUGGCCUCCCUUCAGAUUUUAAAAAUUGCACUAAUCUUCCUUAAAGUUAAUUAUCUUGUAACAUUUAGAUCCAAUCAAUAAUUUAAAAAAUGAUAUUAUGAGAGAGAAAAUAAUAUGAUUUUAUCAUUGCCCCCAUCUUACUACAUUAUUUAAUUAAUUUAAUAGCAACCCACACAUUAAAGAAAAAUGCAAAAAUUUGUUGUUUAUCAUUAAAGAUCAUCAUAUCGCAUAUAACAUCAAAAAAUAGUAUAUUAUUUAUAUUUUUCACUUAAUAUAAUAUCCAAAUUACUCUUUUCAGUUACAUACCCAUUGUUAGACAAAAUCAACAACAAAUAACCAAAAAAUUUGCAACCAAAAUAUUACAAAAAAAUAAACUUUAACAUCAUAAAUAUUUUUAUCAACAUAUUAAAGUUAGUUAUUGAAAUUUUUAUGGUGUUAAACUUCACUCUUUGUAAUAUUUUGGUUACAGAUUUUUUUGAUUAUUUGUUGUUGAUCGUGUUUGACAAUGGAUUUGUAACUGAAAAGAACAAUUUGGAUCUUACAUUAAGUGAAAUAUAUAAAAAUAUUAUACUAUUUUUUAUGGCAUAUGUGAUUCUUUUUUUUUUUUUUUUUUUAUCAGAACGGCAACAUUGUAUUAAUAGUAAACCAAUUACAGUAUAGGUGGGCAACCGCCCUCACAAUCUGCCUGGACUUGUUCCAGCAGCCAAACUGGGAAGUUUUCCUUCCAUUCAGUAUUUUGUUCCAAAGUAAUAGCUACUUUAGCUAGUUUAUGGCUAACAAAGUUGUUCACCCUAUUUGCAAAGGUAAAACAACAUUCAUCAAAUUUUAUUCAUGUACAAUUGUUGCUAUCACCACGUCCUCCUCCUCCUCCUCACUGCACACUACUUGACUACCACCCUUCGCCAACCUUGCUGUUGCAUGUGCAACUAUCAUGGCCUCUCUUAGCGCCUUUGCUUCUUCGACCUUUGGACUGGCACAGCUAAAAUUUGGAACAGCCCAGGCCCACCCGCAAUCUUCCCAACCAAUCCCUGGCCACCCUUUUCCCACCCAGCUUCUAUGGCAUGUGUGAUUCAAUCCUUCUUGAUAGGAUUGGUAAUAGAGGCAGAGGGGGGAGCCGGCUGCAUCCGGUCUACUUUUCAUAGAUAGUACAAUAUUGCGAAAUCGAUCGCAUUCACACAAGAAUAUUUCGAAGUCAUUGCAUCGCUAAGUUGCAAAAAAGUACAAACACUUGUUAUUAUAUAGCUUAAGAUUCAAAACUUUAGAGCACAACCCUCCACCUAACACAAUUGAAUAAUGAAUAUUCACGAUUGUCAAAUCUGUCAAAGCACAGUUUGAGGACAACCCAUUCCAACCUGCAAAAGAUUUUUGACUUUUUUAAAGUUGUUGAGAGCUGUAAAAAGACUUACCAUGCUUACAUCUUCCGAGCCUUGGGAGUUAAAAAUGAAGGCACUGAGUGCUAUAAAAAGGGGGCUAGAGGCUGCCUAGAAGCAUAUCAGCCUAAAACAAGAAUUUGUAGUUAUGAUGGGAAGCAAAGCAAAAGCAAUGGGGUCUGGGCUGACUCCUCUUCUUACCACUGUUUUAGUGGUAUUUGUUGCUCUUGGCUUGCCCUCAGAAACUGCAGCUGAUGAUCACUACAAGUAUUCAUCUCCUCCUCCUCCUUACCACUAUCCCUCACCACCACCUCCAGUGCAUUUACCUCCACCAGUGUACAAAUACAAGUCCCCACCACCACCUCAUCAUGUUUACAAGUACAAAUCUCCACCACCCCCACCACCACACCCAGUUUACAAGUAUAAGUCGCCACCACCACCUCCUCAUCCGGUAUACAAGUACAAGUCUCCUCCGCCACCUCCUCAUCCGGUACCACACCCAGUUUACAAGUAUAAGUCACCACCACCACCUCCUCAUCCGGUACCACACCCAGUUUACAAGUAUAAGUCUCCUCCGCCACCAGUUUACAAAUAUAAGUCUCCUCCACCACCACCUCCAGUGUACAAAUACAAGUCUCCACCACCACCAGUUUACCACUACAAGUCUCCACCACCUCCUCCCCCAGUUUACAAAUACAAGUCUCCACCACCACCAGUUUACCACUACAAGUCUCCACCACCUCCUCCCCCAGUUUACAAAUACAAGUCUCCACCACCACCACCACCAGUUUACCACUACAAGUCACCACCACCUCCUCCCCCAGUUUACAAAUACAAGUCUCCACCACCUCCUCACCACUACUAAGCAAUUGCUUCUGAGGUAAUAACACUUGUUCAAUAUACACACUUCUGCAUGAUAAAACAUAUCUCUAUCAACACAAACUGUCAUGUCUAUCAUGCUAAGUGCCUUCACUUCAUCCACGAAAAUGACUGCUAGAAAAUUUUUUUUUAAGUUACCAAAGAAAAGCAUCAUUUUUUCCCUCUGUUAUCAAGAACUUGUACAGUAUGUAGAUUAAAGAGUUUUUAUUUUAACUAGCUUAUCAACUUAGAAAUGCAUAUAACUGAUAGCCAGCUGAAUAUUUGCAGGCAAAGGAGAAGGAAACCAGUGUUUGGACCUUCUUGAAGAUGUAGAAGCAUAAGAAUAAAAGCCCAAUGUGAAGAUGAUGAUUUCAAGUUUUUCUACGUUACCAUUUCUAUAUCUAAAUUCGUUGUAGCGCCUUAGUUCCUUUGUUUAUGGGAUUUGUAUCGUUUUACGUACCAUGCAGUACAUGUCAUGUUUGUAAGGUUUUCUAUCCUGCCGGCAAAUCGCAGGUUCCAUGUAAUAAAUCAAUACUAUUUAUAUUACGACACUUUUCUCUGUUUCUCUUAUAUUUGUUUGGAUUGAGCUUUAUUUCCCCAAAUUUAUUUGCUUACAUCAUCAUUACAAUUUCUAAUACACCUUUUUACCUUCCCGAUUACCUUUUUAUCUCACAUACAUCACAUCACAAAAAGUGCUACAGUAAAAAUAUCUCUAAUAAUUCACAAUCCAAACAGACUUUUGUCUUUAAUAUUCUUAAUCAUAUUUUUAACAAAAAUAUUCAAAUACUUAGGUAAUCUGGUCUAAUGCUAAUUGUAUGUUUUACUUUUCUUUUUCACCUGCUCCCCUUUUCAACUCAAACGGAUGCAAUAGUUUGUGAUCCCUGUUUAAGACGGAAGCAUGAUACUAAUGAAUAUAUCAUUGAAACUCAAGGAAACUAACAUUAUGAAAAGUGUAAAUCUUGAUUUGAUGCAACUAUUUAUUCGUGGAAUAUAUAGUUACAAAACUCAAAUUCUGACUGCGCCAUUGAUAAAUUAUUAAUGACGCUAUCAUCAUUAUUUAUCCCUAACUAGUUUCGACUACAACUGAACCCAAUAUUUUCCCCAUGAUAAAAGUUUUUGACUAUUUUACUGGCCUCUCUUCAAAUUUUAAAAAUUACACUAAUCUUCAUUGAGAUUAAUUAUCUUGUAACAUUUAGUUCCGAUCAAGAAUUUAAAAAUGAUAUUAUGAGAGAAAAAAUAAUAUAAUUUUAUCAUUGCCCCCCAUCUUGCUAUAUUAUUUAAUAAAUUUAAUAGCAACCCACACAUUAAAGAAAAAUACUAAAAUUUGCUACUUUUCAUUAAAGAUCAAAUUGCAUAUGCCAUAAAACAUAGUAUAUCAUUCUAUGUGUUUCACCUAAUGUAAGAUCCCAAUUGUUAUUUUCAAUUACAAACCCAUUGUCAAACAUGAUCAACAACAAAUAACCAAAAAAUUUGCAACCAAAAUAUUACAAAAAAAAAUAAACUUUAACAUCAUAAAUAUUCUUACCACCUCCAGUGCAUUCACCCUCACCAACCACUAGUUUACAAGUCACCCCCACCACCUUACCACUAUUCCUCACCGCCACCCACAGUGCAUUCACCUCCACCACCACCUGUUUAUAAGUCACCUCCACCACCUUAUCAUUAUUCGUCACCACCAUCUGCAUUGCUUUCACCUCCAUCAUCACCAGUUUACAAAUCACCACCACCAUCUUCCCCAGUGUACAAGUCCCCUCCACCACCAAUUUACAAGUCUCCGCCGCUAUGUCCCCCAGUAUAUAAGUCAUCCCCACCACCGCCUCCAAUGUACAAGUCUCCGCCGACACCAAUCUACAAGUACAAUUCACCACCACCCAUGCCUCCAGUUUACAACUCCUUGCCACCACCUAUUUACAAACACAAGUCUCCCCCACCACUUCCUCCGGUAUACAAGUCAUCUCCACUGCAUCCUCCAAUUUAUGAGUCUCCUCGUCCACCAGUUUACGAGCACAAGUCUCCUCCACCGCCUCCUCCAGUAUAUAAGUCACCACCACUAUCUCCUCCAGUACAUGUCUCCACCACCGCCUAUUUACAAAUCUCCGCCUCCUCCAGUUUACAAUUCCCCACCACCACCAAUAUACAAGUCUCCACCUUCAUCCAACCAUUACUACUAUAAUACUCCUCCUCCUCCUUCGCACUACUGAGGAAUUGCAUCCAAGUUUUGAGGUAAUAACGCGUAACCAGUAUAAACUUUUGUAUGAUAAACCUUAUCCCGAUCAACACAAACUGCCAUGUGUAUCAUGCUAAGUACGUACGCUUAGAUCCAUGAAAAUGACUAGUAGAAGGUUAUCCUAAGAACCAAGGAACAUUAGUUUUCCCUCUGUUUCCAAAAACUUGUGUUUGUUUAACAUGCUUAUCAACUUGGAAAUGCGCAUUGCUAAUAGCCAACUGAAAUUUUUGCAGGCAAAUUGGGAAGAGAAUCAGUGUUUGAGCGGUUCAUGGAAGAAUAAGAAUAAAAGCCCAAUGCGAGGAUGUUCUCAAGUUUAUUAAUGUUUCCGUUCUAUUUUGUAAAUUGAUUUUUGCGACUUAAUUAAUUCCCUGUUUGUGGGGUUCGUGUUGUUUUACCUACAUGCCAUACAUGUUUGUAAUGAUUUUUAUUGCAAAAUGCCGGUCCAAUAAAAUAACUGUAUUCAUUUUGUGUCUUUUGAGUAAACUUCUAUUGGUUCUACUACUUAUUUUACGAUAUUUUUUUUCUCUCUUUCUCUUACAUUUUCCGUUUAAUAUUAUUGAUAAUUUUUUUAACAAAAAAGGUUGAUAUACUUAGGUAGUUCACUAGUUUGGUCUAAUCCUAACUUCAGGCUUGUCUUGUCUUUUAUCUCUACAUACCUUUUCAACUCAAAGGAUGCUACUAUAAUUUGUGAUCAUUGUAGUGGUGAUAUUCCGAGCUAUUACAUAUAAUUUAAGGCAGAGAUUUGAUCCUAGCGAGUAUCUCACUGACAGAUUAGGAAACAUCAUGAAAAGCGUAUAUCUUGAAUUAGUGCAACUAUUUCUUAGGGGAAUUUAUAGUUACAAAAUUCCAAAUUUUGAGAUUCUAUUACUGAUUAAUUAAGGACGUUAUCACUAUUUUUUUUUAAUUAUCACCAUUAAAUACCCCACAUACUAUAAGUUUUUUUAGGGCACAGGAAAAGAGGUGGGCCGAUGUUUAGUUAUCUACAAAAGUUCAAAUUUUGUAGAUAAAUUAUCAUGCGCCCUUAAAGAGUGCAGAAUACCAAAAAAAAAAAAAAAAAAAAAUCAUAUACUAUAACUAAUCCUAAUAUUUUUCCCUACGAUAAACUAACUCUUAUCCAUUUCUUUAGAUGAUGAAAGGAAAUAGUUAGUCACAUAUCCUCUAGUGAUUACAACAGCAUCAAAACAAAUUAGCACUCUUUUCCCGUAGUUUAAAAAUCCCUCAGCCACUAAGAUUUUGCAUAUCGAACGAAUUAAGGAACAUAGGCGCUUCGUGCUGGACAACAGUGUCCUUGUUGACGAUGCAUCCGCAUAUACUUCCUUAAGCAUUUUGAUUAUUUUAUGAUUCGAAUUUUUCUUGUCUGACAGCUGGACUUAAUUGAAAAACUCAAGUAAUAAUAUUCCAAAGCUGAUUCGUCAAAGUUUACCCAAUUGGUGAAACUUUCUUAAUAGAGCUGACUUUGUAUUACGUGACAAUGAUAUGGAUGCUCAAAGUUUUCAAUGGGAAAUUUAUAUGAGCUUUUCACGACAAAAUGUGUUCCGAUAAAGGUUCAUUCCAGAGGUUAAAAUUUUGUUUGUUAAAAAUUUACUUCUCAAGUCUUUGAUGCGAAAGUCUUGGUAUUUCCAAAAAGUCUUGAAAUCGCAGCAUAUAAGCCACUUUCUGUUCUCUUUUUUUCAUUGAAGUCUUUCCAAAUGUCAGUUCCAAAAGGAGUUUUUUAUGAAUUAUGAUAGAUAAUUAAUCUGACGGUCCAUAUAUAUGUGAUUUGCAAGAGGGUGUUUGGCGAAAUGGUUAGGCUUUCUAAGUAAUGAUAGGAAUGCCAUUUGCAAAGAAGGACAGGGGGCCUGUGCUGUCAUAUUUUAUGCGAUUUGAUCCGUUGUUGUAUAAGUUUAAAUUUUUGACGUGCAAUUGUGCUACAAUAUUAUACUAAAUAUAUGUGUGAAAUAUUUUGUCUAUAUACAUCACUUUUAUCGUGAAUACAACAGCUGAGUAUAAUAAUAUAAUAUAAUGUAAUUAUACACCAAAUAAUGUAACAAAUAUAACAAUCGAUCUGAAUUACACGAAAUCAUAACAACAAGAUCACCGCCUCCCAAAUUUUACAAAAUAAGGUUUUUUUUUUCUUUUAGAUUAUUGAAAAUUUUCAAAAAUAUUCUACAUAAUUUAAAUUUUUGUCCUACAAAAAUUAAAAGAGAUUUUAUAUUGCACGCUUAAGCUUAGAUAUAUUAAAGUUUGCCCCCAAGAUUAAUUUUCCGUUUUUAUCUAUGGUUUCUCAUCUAUGAGCCGAUCCAUAUAGCUAGUUAGACUGUACUCCUCACAUUUGUGGGAUUUGACACCCAAGAUUCUCCUUCUUGGAAUGUAAAAUGUAGAUCUUCUAUGUUAAUAAUUCAGGACCCAACUGUCAUAAACGAAAUGACUGAUCAACUCCUGUAAAUCUAAUUUAACAACAUUUAAAUGGAGAACUUUAGCUAAAAGAAUUAUGGUUAUUUUCCAACAUAUGCAAUCAUUGAUCAGAAUAUAUAUAUAUAUAUGUAAAAGACAUCUUCAGUCAUUUCAUAGCUUACCAGGCAAAUUAACCCCUAAGUGAACCUCUUCGAACAGAACUGACAAUAUGGAUGAAGAUCUGGAUAUUCUUUUAUCCUGACUCCUAAGGGAAAACUGGUUGAUCUAGAAUCAAAAUUUUACCCUAGUUACCCAGGCAACUUUUUUGUUGCCUUUUUUUUUUUUGGUAUAAAGCUCCAAUUUUGCUCCCUCUGUUAAGCUUAUAAUGCAUAUAAUUAUUAAGAUAAUAAAAGUGCCUUGAAUAGUAUUAAUAUAUGCAUUGACUUGAGCUGUCAUCAGUUCGGCCACUUCGAUUCCAUGAGGCCUUUUCAAUUCACACUAGCUAGAAAAUGGGGAGUCGUGAAAACCUUUUGUUCUAUUCAUUGCUAAGAUGCUUUUCUCUAUAAAGAGACUUCCUAACGAAAAUACUUUGUAGAUUUCUUUACUCCAAGUGGUGCAUGAAAAAUUAAUAUUUUCAAUUAACAAAUAAAAUUCCCUUUUUUUGGUGUAGAUUUCAUCCAUCCAGCUGUUAACACAUUCUAUAAAUCCGAAUUGACUAAUCUUUUCAUUUCCAUUUUCCAACUUGCGAAUACGGCAUCUUAUAUAAUGUCUGCUAAACACUAUAUAUUCUCUGCCAAAUAUGAAUACAUAUCACUUUUCUGAGCAAGUGCAGAGUCAUUAUCAUUUUUAUUCCCACAUAACAAAUUAGUGGUUGAGCAUCUUUACAUGCUAUCAGGUCACAAGUUAAUAAUCUUUUAAAGAACAUGUUAAAUUAAUUUAUUGGUAUGAAUAGUCAAAGAAGUAUGUUAAAGUUAGCAAUCUUUAAAAUAAUAUGUUAAAAUCAUUAGUACAAAUUAGUCAGAGAAGUAGCAUAAACACCACGAUGCAAUUAAUACUUUCAAUCUCAAGGUCUCUCUUACGGAAAUUUGCAUCGGUCAACAUACACAAAGCAUAAUUGUAUGCACGUCUCUCUAUCAUGGAAUUUGCAUAGGUCAAUAUACACUUGGCAUAGUUGAUAGUUGUAUGCGCGUAGGCAUGGCCAUGGUUCCAUUUGGAACUGGGAAUCAGACCGAAACCGGAUCGUUUGGAACCAGAUCAGAACCGGAAUCAAAACCAUGAAACCAGAACCGUGAUAGAACCUUGGAUAAAGGUUCCGGUUCUGGUUCUCUAAAAAAUAGAACCAGAACCAGAACCGUUAAAAAUAAUUAAUAUAAGUGGUGAGAUAAUUCAAAAAAAAUUAGUUGUGUUUAAUAGGUUUUAAGAAAGUUUAAAUUUUAUGGACUUUCUAUAUAUUUUAUUAAUUAUUUAAUUCUUUCUAUUCAUCUAAUAUUUAUCAUUAUAAUUUGCAAGUAUUAAAUUAUUACUUAAAAUUUUUUUUUUUUUUUGCUUAUUUGCUAUCAAAUGACAAGUUUUGAUGGUAGUAGCUCAUCUUCAAAAUCAAGCAAGCAAAAAAAUAUUUUUUGCAAUAUUUCUUCAAAUGGAAUCUUCAACAUUGAUGAUUGUCCAACUCAAGAAAGUCAACAUAUGACAACCAUUUGAUAGUGUAAUGUAUUUUUUAAUUUGACAAUGUAAUGUACUUUUCAUAAAAUUUAUAUUAUCUAUUUAUUACUUCUUACUUUGUAGAAUAAUAAUAAAAUUAAAAUAUGAUCUUUAUUUUGUAUUUAUUUUUUUACGUUUUAUUUGAAAUUUUAAAUAUAUUGUUAUAUUCGUAUUAAAAUUGGUAAGGAUAAGGAAUUAAAUAAAAUUGUAUAUAACCAUACAGAACCGGAAACCGGAACCAGAACUAUAAGGAACCAAAAUCAGAACUAUGCGGUUCUGGUUCUACCUCUUUGAAGAACCAGAACCAGAACCAUUUUAUAUGGUGCGGUUCUGGUUCUACCUUUUUUAAGAACCAGAACCGGCGGUUCUAGAACCGUGGUCAUGCCUAUAUGCACGUCUUUUAUUUUAUUUUAUUUUAUUUUUUGGUACUGUUCUUCCUUGCUUUAUAGUAUGCACGUUUAUUUCUUUGGAUUGCUUAAGAUUAUAUUGUUAAUAAUAGGGCAUUUAACCAUAAAUUAUAAUAAUUAUGAAGUAAUAUAUAUUAGAAAAUUAACACAAUUAUGAUUUUUUUUUUUUGUAAAUUCAAAUUUUAUUAAUAAGAAAUGAAAUAGACCGUAAGCAAAAACAAAAUCCUACAACAACUCUAGGACUCUACACCUUAUAUAAAAAAAAACUAGGACUCUAUACCUCAGAGAAGCUAAACAAUCCAACAAAUAAAAUGCAAAAUAAAUCACAAUAACGCAAAUUAUGUUAAGCUAAUAAAUACUACCAUGCAACAAAAUUUUUGUCUUUGUCCCGCGUGAAACUACGAAGUCAAGAAUUGACUCCUUUAACCAGUAUUGCCAGCGGGGCUCCGUCAGCAAGAUACAACUUUGCAAUUUUAUACAAUAGAAAUCCUCAAAUAGCUAUUUUGACAGGCAAAUUAAGCAUUAAUUUUGGUAUCCCUUCAUAAAAUACAAGAGUACUUUUGAUUAUAUCUAUAGAUCAACUUUCUAGGCUUGAUGUAUUAUAAGAAAAAUCUGCCUAAACAUUUUGAUAGCAUUUUUCCAAAAGCAGAAGAUGGAAAAUUGCCCAUUUGUAAUGGGGAGUUCGUGAUCUUUUCCUCAUUCUAGUCUACUUACAAUUCUUGGAAAAAGGAAUACUCACAUCUCAAACAACAGCCAGCUCAUCUGCGCUGUCCUGCAGAAUUCUAGAAAGUUAGGUGGCAAUGUUAAUAACAUUUCAAAAUUGACUGCUGCGAUAACUAAUUCGAUGGCUUACUACAUGGUCAACGUUUGGAUCCCUUCCUGCCGGCACUGUCCUUUUUGGAUGCACAUUUUUUUUCUCUAGGUAAUAUAAUCACCCAACUCAUUUCUUUACAAAUGCACCUUUAAUCACCACCAAAAGGUGUGGACAUGAUCUUUACCCUAGAAAACUAUUCACCGACAGGCAAAUUGACGUCAGAAAUACUAAGAGGAAUUCUAGUUUCCUUCGGGUUAAUGCCAUUUUGUACCCUUCAACUGUAACUCGAUUUCUAAGCUGUAAUUUGUGACAUUAUAGUCCUUAAACUAUGAAACCCUUCUUACUUAAGUAUAAUGGUUAAUACAAUACUGGUGAUUAGACAAGUAUGAAGCAACCAUAACAAAAAAAAAUCCAAAAUUAGAGAAAAGAAAGAUGUUUCGCGACCAAAGUAUGUAUCAAGGCAUAGUAUAGAAAUAAAAGUGUCAAAAUUAAGAGUUUAGGGAUAAAAAAGAAUCAAGAUAUAGUUUAGGGAUUGAUUUGUCUCAAUUAGAGCUUAGGUGUCAACUAAGAAGAGAGAUAUAGUUGAAGGGUAGAAUAUAGAUAUAAAGGUUCAAUGAUUGAUAUCAGUGAGACAAUGAUAACUUUGGAUUAUUACCAACCUCUUCUGGAUGGGAAAAGGAAAUAGAGAAGAAAGUCGGGCCUGGUCUAAGCCUGUUUCGGAGGCAAAACAACAUUAUGAAAUCACCGGCAUUCAGACAAAUAUGUCAAAGUCACCGGCAUGCUAAGUUGCAAAAUUUAUACAAACACUUAAUAUUAUAUUGUUCUUAAAAUUUUUGUUUAAGAUUUAACAAUUAGAGCACGGUACACGAAUUAGAAAUAUUAAAUAAUGAAUGUUCACGAUUGAUAAAGUUAUCAAAGUACAGUUUGAGGACAACCCAUUCCAACGUGUACAAGAUGUUUAGCCUUUGAAAAGUUAAUUAGAGAAGGUGACGAGAUUUUACGAGGCUGACAUCAUCUAGGCCUCGAGAGUAAAAAAUGAAGACACUGAGCGCUAUAAAAAGAGGGCUAGAUGUUGCCUAGAAGCAUAUCAGCCUCAGACCACGUUUUGUAGCAAUGGGGAGCAAAGCAAAAGCAAUGGGGUCUAGGCUGACUCCUCUUCUUACCACCGUUUUAGUGGUAUUUCUUGCUCUUGGCUUGCCUUCAGAAACUGCAGCUGAUUACUACAAGUAUUCAUCUCCUCCUCCUCCUUACCAUUAUUCCUCACCACCACCUCCUAUGCAUUCACCCCCACCACCGCCAGUUUAUAAGUCACCCCCACCACCUUACCACUACUCCUCACCGCCACCUCCAGUGUAUUCAUUUCCACCACCUUUGCCAAUAUACAAGUCUCCGCCACCACCUUACCAUUAUUCCUCACCACCACCCCCAGUGCAUUCACCCCCACCACCACCAGUUUACAAGUCUCCCCCACCACCUUACCAGUAUUCCUCACCACCACCUCCGGUGCAUUCACCACCACCUCCUCCAGUUUACAAGUCCCCGCCACCACCUUACCAUUAUUCCUCACCACCACUUCCAGUGCAUUCACCUCCACCAUCACCGAUUUACAAGUCUCCACCACCACCUUACCAAUAUUCCUCACCACCACCUCCACUGCAUUCACCUCCACCACCACCGAUUUACAAGUCACCUCUACCGCCUCUUCCAGUUUACAAGUCUCCGCCACCACCUUACCACUAUUCCUCACCACCACCUCCGGUGCAUUCACCUCCACCACCACCGGUUUACAAGUCACCUCCACCACCUCCUCCAGUUUACAAGUCCCCGCCACCACCUUACCAUUAUUCCUCACCACCACCUCCGGUGCAUUCACCUCCACCACCACCGGUUUACAAGUCACCUCCACCACCACCUCCAGUUUACAAGUCCCCGCCACCACCUUACCAUUAUUCCUCACCACCAACUCCAGUGCAUUCACCCCCAUCACCACCAGUUUACAAGUCUCCGCCACCACCUUACCAUUAUUCCUCACCACCAUCUCCGGUAAAUUCACCUCCACCACCACCGGUUUACAAGUCACCUCCACCACCUCUUCCAAUUUACAAGUCCCCGCCACCACCUUACCACUAUUCCUCACCACCACCUCCAGUGCAUUCACCCCUACCACCACCUGAUAGGGUAUAAUUUGUUAGUAUUUUUAUUAUUAAUUUUCCCUUCUAUCCCUGACAAAUAUUGUGUUAAUUGCUGAUAUUUACUCAUAUUUGGUAUUUGGAAUCAAUUUCAGGAAUGAAGCAGAAAACUACCAAAAAGGAGGGACUUUGUGAAAAAUAUGGAGACUUCUAAGGGCUUCAAUCCUUGGGCCCUUGAAUUGGUGGGGGACCACAAGCUAGUGAAAGGCAUUUGGUCAUUUGGGCUUCAAAGAAAGCAACGUAGAGAGACUUGGAACAAGAAGUACUUGGGAGGCUUUGUCCACAUGUGUGGGGACCACCUAGAUAGCUUUUAGUCAUCUUUCUUUUGUUGCUUUAAAAGGGGACAACGUACAGAAGCAAAAGAUAUCUAGGGCUUUAGUUUUAGUUUUUAGUUUAGUUCUAGUUUUCUUUCUUUGGACUGGCCUCUGACACACGCCAGGUAUUCGACAAUAUUCCCCAACGGGGAGAUUUUCUCAUGAGGCGUGGUUAAGCUUUUCAAGGGGACACUGACGAUUUGGUUCAAUUUACUGUGAGAUCGAAUCUGUUUUAUUUUUUUCUUCAUUUUGGUUUUUAUAUGUUCCUUGAUUUUAAUUGCUAUGGCCUUGUGUAUGAUUGAUUAGUGCACAAUAAUUAAUUAUUCAUAUAGGCUAUUUUUGCUAAAUAGGGGUAAUUGAAUCCGUAAUUGUUCGUUAUCUCUACCUCAGUAGCAACUGGCGUAAUUGGGUUUAUGUCAGGGGAGCAUAUGAUCUAAUUUAAACAAACCCUCGUAGCGUAUUUGUUGGUUAGGAUUGGGCCUUUCUAAUUAUUAUGCAAUCUAGAAAUUAAAUCCUACGGUCGUACCUAGGGUUAUUUUUGGGUUAGAGAAAUAGCUAACGGUCGUACCUUAGCUAUCGAGAAAUUAAGGAAGGGUUGGUUGUUUAUCGCGUGCAUGACAACUAUAACUAAUCUAUUGCUAAAUGUUGGAAUUAUUUCUGCAUCAAUGAUCAGUGCCUGAACCAUUUCUGAAGUGUACCCUUGGCUAGAGUUUCUCUUAAUUAUUUCUUUUAAUCAAUUAUUUUCUGCACUUGAUUUAUUUAGUUAGCAUUUAAUCCAAGAACCUCCCAUACUCUGGACUCUAGAAGAAACGAAUUAUCCCCAAUCCCUGUGGAUUCGACCCUGCUCGCCGCUAUAUACAAAAUCUGUAUUUUUCUUGAGUAGGUAAUUAUUAUUGCACAGGUUCGGCACCUGUCACCACCAGUUUACAAGUCUCCGCCACCACCUUACCAUUAUUCCCCACUACCACCUCAAACGCAUUCACUCCCACCACCAGUUUACAAGUCACCGCCACCACGUUCUCCAGUAUACAAAUCACCUCCACCACCUCCUCUAGUUUACAAAUCUCCACCACCAUCAAUUGAUAAAUACAAGUCUCCUCCAGUGUACAAGUCAUCUCCACCACCUGCUUACAAGUCUCCACCUCCUUCAGUUUACAGUUCCCCACCACCACCAAUCUACAAGUCUCCACCUCCACCCUACCAUUACUACUACAAUUCUCCUUCUCCUCCUCCUCCUUCUCACUACUAAGCAGUUGUAUCCAAGUUUUUGAGGUAAUAACGCUUAACCAAUAAAUUAACUUUCGCAUGAUAAACCUUAUCCCUAUCAAGACAAACUGCCAUGUGUAUCAUGGCAAAUCCGUACACUUAGAUCCAUGAAAAUGAGUGGUAGAAGGUUUUCUUAAGAACCAAGGAACAGCAAUAGUAUUCCCACUGCUUCCAAAAACUUGUGUAUUAAAUAGAUUAACGAAUUGUUUAACAUGCUUAUCUACUUGAAAAUGCACAAUACCCAUAACCCAUUGAAAUUUUUGCAGGAAAAGGGGAAGAGAAUCUGUGUUUGAGAGCUUCAUGAAGAUGUUGAAGAAUAAGAAUAAAAGCCCAAUGCGAGGAUGUUUUCAAGUUUUUCUAUGUUUCCACUUUAAUUUGUAAAUUGAAUUUUGCGACUCAAUUAAUUCCCUGUUUGUGGGGUACAUAUUGUUUUACGUACCAUGCCGUACAUGUUUGUAAGGAUUUCUAUCCUAUUGGCAAAAGUCGGUUCCAUACAAUUAAUCAAUUCAUUUCACUUCUAUUGGCUCUACUAUUUAUGCAUGUUACGACAUUUUUUCUCUCUUUCCCUUAUAUUUUGCCUUUAAUAUUAUUGAGUCAAUAGUAAAAUUAUACUAUUAUAAAUAGGUAGUUUGGUCUAACGCUAAAUUCAUGUUUGUCUUUCUUUUAUUCCCUUUACAUCUCAAAGUAUACCAUAGUUUGUGAUCAUUGUGGUGAUGAUACACUACAACAAAAAUGGCCUUUCCUGACAUGUCUAUAAGGACACUUGCUGGUUUUUGUCAUUAUAGCACUUCUAUCAUGACAUUUGUUAUCAAUUCACUAAUUUAUACUUUUUUUUAUUUUAUCUGAUAUAAAAAUAAUAAUGUGUCUUUAGAUUUCCUAUCAUGGCAUUUUAGAAAAUGUGAGAUACAACGAAAAAAUUAAAACAUAAAACGAUGUCGUUUGAUUUUGACGGAAGAUUCAUUUGCCAAAACACUUAGUGAAAUCUCAAAACUUUCAUUGUGUCGAUUCUUCUCCUCUCUCUCACAAACCCUCUCUCUCGGCAGACUAUCUCUCAAAACUCCCCCAUUUUGGUUCUUUUGUCUUCCGCCUUCGCCGCCGCCCCACUCCUCCAUUUUCGGUUGCUAACUUGGCCGCUUCUCUGCCCUAUUCGGUCAACCACGACACCUACACCAAUAAGUCUUCGCUCUCUUUGCUAGGACAAAAGGAAUAAAAAAACAGAUACUCAUGUUCUUUCCUUUUUCUUCUUUCCUCUGAAACCGAUCCCCAUGCUUCUCCGUACUGACUAGAUAUUCAGGUUGAGCGUGUUGAGGAGUAGAGUAGGCGAAGGUUGCCGCCAUCGUCUCAUUGAAGUCCAGCCACUACAGCGGAAAUCAUCACUGUAAAGUUUCCCGUACUCUUAUACCUUUUUUCCCCCUUAAUUGUAUUGUUUUCUUCUUUGUCUGCAAUCAUGUCGGUUAUGCUUUACUUUCGUCUUGUUAAUCGAUUUUAAGUGGCUGGAAUUGAUCAUAGGUUUGAGUAGAGUUUUAGAUUUAAAAUUCAAGCUCAGGCCGUAUAAGGAACUGAUGAAAAAGAAAUUUCAAAACUUUUCAUCCUCACUACUUGUUUGUCGGAAGGUUCGAAUGAAGAAAGAAGGAAAUUUGCAAUGGAAGUGAACAGAGAGAGAUGAAAGUGAUUGGAGAGUGAAAUUUUGCCUUGGUGAACUUUUCUUUUGUUUUUGAUCAUCAAGUGCAAUAGAAAAGUACAUUUAGUACAAUUUCCUAACUAUCUUAGAGGAAAUCUUGUUUGGAACUUUCGCUGGAUGCUAUGCAACUUAUUUUUGAUGCUUUGGUCAUGAUUGUUGUUCUGUUUGCUACAGCCCCAUAAGAAGGUUUUUUUUUAAUUAUUAUUAAAAAUUACCGCAUAGCUUGGAUACUUUUGCAUUCCAUGCACCAUGUCAGCUAUUCAUAGCACAUAGCACUAAAGUAGAGCACUCUGUAAUUUUGGAGAUGUUUCAUCUACGCAUUCAAUUAUUUCGAGUUUUUAGUCCAAUGGGUAAUAAAUUGGUUGUACAUCACUUAUUAUGUUGCAUCCCAGUUAUAUUGACCUAGAACAAUUACCAUAUAGACAAAAAGAAGAUAUUAACUGCAGCAAAUUGAAGAAUAAAAAGAGUAUUUGUCAAAUCUUUUCUCCCAACAUCCCUCGUAAUUCUUUCCCCCAACCUCAACUUAGGCACACAUUGUGUCUCUCCUUUUCUUCUUCAAACUAAAUGUUCUUCUCAUGGACAAAUAAGAAUAAUUUGAAUUUAUGAGGAUACAGAGGAAGAGAAUGAAGAUGGAGAAGUUAAUUGUUAUAACUCCAGUUAUGAUAAAGUUGAAGAUGACUUUACAUAAGAUGGAUUAAGUGACUAGUGCUCUAUUGUAAGAUGCUGGGUGCAUAUCUUAAUUUCUUUGAAUUGACUUUAUAUCUCAAAAAAAAAAAAAAUUGAAGGGAUUCUAUAUUUAUUUGACUUGUGUGGUAUUUAUUUGUGUGACUGUCUUGUUUUUUGUCUGCUUUUAUGAUCUAGAGCAUUGAUUACUCUAUAUUUUUAGACAAGAAUAUAUUGUUUUUGUUGUAGAAUUUCUGUAGAAAAAAUACAGAUCUUGCACAUUAAACCCAAUGGGGACUGUUUGCACUAUAAUGCAUUAUGGGCAACUAACAAAUUGGGAUUUGCUAGCCAUUCAAUAUUUUGUAAAUCCUCUGCAGUGUAACAUACUGGAAAUUGCCUUUCAGUUACAGUCUCCAGCGAAGUGUCCUGAUUUAGUCUUUCAAGUUGGAAUGUGACUAAUAGUUUCUUAUCUUUUAAAAGUUUGCCAAUUUCAGGAGGAUUGGUUACAUAGUUUUUUAAGAUUUCUUUCCUCCAGUGGGCACUUAAAAAAAUAGUGAUUAUUGAGUGCUUUGAUCUGUUGAAAUUUAAUUGAAAAUUUUCCGAUCAUUAAUUGACACACUUCAAAAUACUAAUGACUACAUAUGUCAAAGCACAACCUAGGAAAUUAUAUCAGCACGUGCUCCGAUUGUAUGGUACUAAACUUGCAGUGCUUCCACAAAGAAUGUGAAGAGCACAUAUAUACUGAUCAUUGAAAAGAUAGAUUUCUAUUAUGAUUCUGCUAAUGUUUGAAGCACUAAAUGUGAAAUUGCUAUCUAUUUUGAAUGAGUAUCUGUUUCUAUGAAAACUUUGGACAAAUAUGCAUAUGACAAUAGUUUCUAAUGAAGUUACAAACGAUGCUGAACCUUUGGCAUUAUACCAAGAAGGUGUUAAUCAAGUUAACUGGUUACACUUCUAAGCCCUUGCCUGUGGGCAGAAUCUGAGCUAGCUUUAUUCAUUUGUAGCAAGAAGUAAUUUUGCAUGCCAAUGCCAUGCAUUGUUGACUAACCUGUCGCAUUCAGUGUUUGGACAGGUGGGAGUAUAUUGGCGGCACUUGGUUCCUUUCAGCAAAUUUGGUUUUCAAAAUCUGAGUAAGCUUUUACAUCUACUCUACCUUUCAAUAUUCAACUUUUCUUCUUUUUUUCUCCCCAUUUUCAGUCUGUUUUAUCUCUCGAUUAAUAGGUUUGAGGAACAUGGAACUUCUUAUGUUCAAAGAAAAUGCCCGUAAAGUACUUUACUGGUGCGGACAAUUAUCACAUUAGACAGAAAUUCAUGGAGCUGACUUCACUUUGAUUAGUUCGCUGACGGUAUGGGUUGCUCGGUUUUAAUAUCCUGCUUUAUAGGAGCCCAAGCAAUGUACUAUAUAUAUACUAUACCUCUCGCGGAUCGUUGCUAAUGUUGUACAAUUACGUUACCUGACUUUUAGCAUUUCUUUCAACUGGUUAGGGAUGAGAGUCUUUUUGUUUGUGCACAAGAAAGUCUUUCAAGUUAUUGUAAAUGAGAAUCUUUCGGUAAUUUUUUGGGAUUUUAGUACUUGCUUUGAGCAUUUGUUUGCGAUUUUAGUACUUGCUAUGUUUGUACUUGUUAUUGACUUUUAAUUCAAUGAAUUAUAUUUGAGUAUCGACUUCUUCUUUUAAAUUGCUAUAUGCAUUCUGCCUUUUGGGAUAAUUUUACAAGUCCCUUGGGAUUCUGGUUGAUGGAAUGUACAGCAGGGAGGACUAAUUACAGGUUGCUUCCAUAUGAAAAAAAAACAGGAAAAAACUCCUGGCAAUUAGAAGUGUCAGCAUAGCUUAGCUUCAAAAAACACUAAUGACAAAUGGGCAUGUCAUCCAAAGCAGUGUAAAUUCACAUGGCUACGUGUCCUUAAAGCCAUAUAUUAAGACAAUUCAAGAUGCCUUCAUAAAUUGGAUAUACUACUAAUCCGCUACUGAUGUUCUAAUGCUAUACGGACACUUUCGAUUAUCACAAAAAAAAGUUUUUGUUGGCAGAGGGAAUGCUAUAGCAGCAUGGUUUUCCUGACACAUUUGAAUGUUGCCAAAGAUUUGAGGCUAUCCCCACAUUGGAAGGGACAACACUCGCCCUAGGUGUGAGGAUAGAUAAAAUGUCAGGUUAGAUUAUCUAUACUGACACCUUUAAAUGCCGCUAAAGGCCAUUUUUGUUAUAGUGAUAUUACCGGCUGGUACAUAUAGUUUAAGGCAAAGACAUGAUAUUAACCUAUCUCAUUGAAACAUAAGGAAAAAUCAUGACAAGUGUGAGUCUUGGAUAAUGCACAAUUUGUAAGUGGAAUUUAUACUUAUAAAACUCAAAAAAAAAAUUUCACAAUGCUAUUACUAAUUAAUUAAGGACUUUAUUGCUAUAAUUUAUCGCUUACUAGUUUAAACUGUAAAUGAUCUCAAUAUUUUUCUCCGUGAUGUCGAUUUCUUUAGACUACGAAAGGGAAAAAUUAGUGACGUAUCCCCUACUUAGUUAUAAACUUUUCCAGUGGUUUUAAAUCCCUCGGGCUAAGGACGUACACUUGAUCCAUGAAAAUGACUAGUAGAAGAUUUUUUUUAAGAAUCAAAGAAAUGCAUUAUUUUUUCGGUCUGUUUUCAAGAAUUUGAGCAGUAUACAGAUUAAAGAGUGUUUUUUUUUAAACUUGCUUAUCAACAUAGAAAUGCACAUAGCUGAAAGCCAACUGAAUAUUUGCAGGCAAAGGAGAAGGCAAUCGGUGUUUGAGACCGUCAAGAAGAUGUAGAAGAAUAAGAAUAAAAGCCCAAUGCGAGGAUGAUUCCAAGUUUCUACGUUACUAUUUCUACAUCUAAAUUGACUUUAGCUCCUGAGUUCCAUGUUUAUGGGGUUUGUACCGUUUUACGUACCAUGCAGUACAUGCUUGUAAGGUUUUCUGUCCUGUUGGCAAGCCGCAAGUCCAUAUAAUAAAUGAAUACUAUUUAUAUUACGACACUUUUCUCUCUUUCUCUUAUAUUUUGUCUUUAAUAUUGUUGAUCAUUUUUUUUAUCAAAAGUAUCAAAUGCUUAGGUAAUUUGGUCUAAUGCUAAUUGUUUUACUUUUAUUUUUCACCUACAUCCCUUUUCAACUCAAAGGAUGCUACAGUUUGUGAUCAUUGUUUAAGACCGAAGCAUGGUACUAAUAAAUAUCUCAUUGAAAGUCAAGGAAACUAACAUUAUGAAAAGUGUAAAUCUUGAUUUGAUGAAACUAUUUAUUCGUGGAAUUUAGAGAUACAAAACUCAAAUUGUGACGGUGUUGCUGCUAAAUUAUUAAGGACAUUAUCACCAUUAUUUUUCCCUCACUAGUUUCAUCUGCAAUGAUCUCAAUCUUUUUGUAUUGAUCGGUUGUAAUGAAUCGCGAUUGAUUGGUUGUAAUCCGCUUGUAUUGAUCCCACUAUUGUGGAUACUUCUACGCUCAACAAAAAAUAUAUAUAUUAAAGAAUUAGCAAUAUUUUUUAGAACAAGUUAAAUUUAUUCAUACAAAUUAGACAAAGAAGUAUUUUAAAGACCAUGAUGAAAUUAAUACUUCCAAGGUCUCUAUUAGGAAGACUUCCUUGCCUUGAGUUGCAGUUGCGUGCAGAUGUUUAUAUUUCAAAUUGAUGGUAUAGUAAAAAUGUUGAAUUUCUUUAUCCCCGUGACUUCAAAAAUAUGAACUCAAGAAAUUAACUUCUUAACCAGUAUGUCAUACAAGCUUCACAAGAAAUGUAUAACUUUGCAACUAGAGUCAAUAGAAAUCGUCACAUAAUUAUUAAUUUUACAUCGAAAUUAAGCCUGUAUGACAUACUGGUUCGAGGUUUGGCCACGCUACCUUCCUAUUGUUUAAAAAUUCUCACAUAAUCCCUUGUACUUUGGACUAAACUCGAAUGUGAAAAGAAACCAUCCAAGCUAGUUUGGGAUACACUUGUUGCACUUUGAACUAAACUUGAACGUGAAAGGAAAUCCCAAAACCAUAUUGGGCAUGAAUUCACACUUAAUAGACCCAAAAAAAGAUGGCGACUGGUGAUGGAGGUGAAAGGCAGUGGGGACUGGUGGAGAGAUUUGAGGAAUAGAAGCAGACGAAAAAGCAACAAAUUUUUGCCAAAAAACGGUGACUUUCAUGGUUAAUAUUGCUACUCUCUAAUUGUACUUGACCAAUACAACAGUGAAAUUGUAAUUUAUGCUGAAGAUGGAGUUUGAUACGUGAAGAGAAUUUUUUAUAAAUUUUAUUUUGACCCAUAAUGUUAUCUUUAGAUACAAAAAAUAUUUUAAAAUUUUGAUUUUGGCCCGGUUAACUUUUGGUAAACAAAAAAUGCUCAUGCUUAGUGACAGGUUGUCGAUGCCUGUGCAAAAAUAAAAAUAAAUCUAGUUGCCAAUUAAAAUAAUCAGAGCCCAAUUCUGAGUACUGGAGCAGGGACUCUAGGUGUGCAAUGGGUUACUUGAUUCACUCUAUUUCCGAAGAGUUUGCUUAACCCGAUAUACCAGAAUGGGAUUGCUUAUUCAAAAGGAAUUGUUGAUUUGUAAACAGGGCAAGUAGGGUCGUAUUCUCAGGUGGGCUGGCGGUGCGCGGUCAAUCGACGGAGAAAGAGAGGAAAGGACGCGGGUGGAGGUUUUUGGGUUUUGGCCAAGAGAAGAGGGAACGCAGGGAAAGAGAGAGAGAGGGGCGGUGCUCGGGAAGGUGAGCGGCGGACGACGGCUAGGAGGGAAAAGGAGGAGCGGCGUGCGAAGUUAGAGAGGAGGAGGGAGGCGGCAUACGAAGGAAAAAGAAAUCAAGGAAGAAGAAAGAAAGAAAAGAGGAAGAAAGAAAAGAAGAAGGAAAAAAAAUAGUUUUUGGGUUUUUUUUCAAUUUUUUUUUAUUUUUUUGAAUUUAAAUGUCAAAUUUUGAAUUUUUGAAAAAAAAAACUGAAGGUUAAAAAGGAAAAUAAUUUUAUUUUGCUAAAAAAAAAUUUUUAUUUUUUUAUUUUUUUUUGUUUUGGAUCGUCAAACACAGCGUGGGCACGCCAAAAUUAUAAAACGUCCACUGAUCUUGGGAGUCACUGACACGGCGUGGGCACGCCAAGAUUUCACUUCCUGCCAACGUCGCGAGAUGUUGAAAUUGUACUAACAUGGCGUGGGCACGCCAAGAUUGGUAAACAUCCACUGGCCUUGGGAGUCACUUUUUGAGUGUCCUCCUCGCGUGGGCAUGCCAAGAUUCUAUGUCCUGGUCACAUUGGAGAAAAAUAUGAAAAUUGACUAGUACCCAAAUGAAAAACGACAAAUCGAAAGAAUUGAACAACAAAAAAUAAUAAAGCUAAUAUUUGGGUUGCCUCCCAAAAAGCGCCUUUUUUAACGUUUUUUGUUAGACGUUGAACACCACUCUUCAAUUUGGAUGUAAUUCAAUUUUCCUUGUAAUCGGUGGUCCUACUCCGGGUUCCAAAUAAUCAUUGAGUGCAGCCUUCUUUCUUUAUUUUCUAUUCAUUUUCACCUCAUAAAUUGCUUUCAUUCCCUGAUAUUUGUUCGCAAGAAUUUUGAAUUUACCCCUACAACCAAACUCAAAAAAUUCUUGCACAAAGGAAUUAGUAGCAUGAAUAGCAAACACAGAAUGAGAGUUAACAGUAUGUUUUAUUGUAUUAAAAAUAUUAAAAUGGACUAUUUCUCCAUCGAAUUCCAUUGUGAGAGUACCCUUACUAACAUCAAUCUUAGUUUGGAUAGUACUCAAGAAUGGCCUUCCUAAUCUAAUGGAUGAUGGAUUUGGGACACUUUCAUCAUCCAUAUAAAGCACAUAAAAAUCAGCAGAAAAAAUUAAUCCAUCUACUUGCACUAAAACAUUCUCAACUACCCUAUCUGAAUAAGUAAAUAUACGAUUAGCCAAUUAAAUUAUUAUCCCUAUUUCUUUUAAAGAUCCUAAAUUUAGGGAAUCAUAAAUUGAUUUAGGCAUCACAUUAAUAGAAACUCCUAAAUCUAGCAUGGCAUUUUUUAGAUUAGAAUGUCCAAUCUUACAUGGGAUAGUAAACAUACCUAGAUUCCCGUAUUUAGGUGGUAGUUUCCUUUGUAAAAUUGCUGAAAUGUUCUCAUCUACCACAAUAUGCUUGUCCUCCCUCAAUUUCUUCUUGUUGACACACAAGUUUUUCAAGCAUUUAGCGUAUUUUGGCACUUAUUUGAUCGCGUCCAACAAAGGAAUAUUGAUUGCCACCUUGCGAAAAAUGACGGAAUUUUUAUAUCAAUGCAAGUUUAAAUUCGAUUUUAUACCCGUUGACUGCAAGUAUACAGGCCGAAAUUGUAAUGUAGGGUAUGUAUCGGGUCGAUCCCACGAGGAGCAAAUUAAACAAGUACUAAGCCCUUAUUUUUCUCUAUUAUUUAGACUCACAAUAAAUUUGAACAGAGAAAGUAUAUUGCUAAAAUUUACAAAUUUGAUAUACAAAUAUAAUUUAACAAAUGCUAAAUGCAAAAGAAGAAAUUUCACUCAAGGAAGAAUUUAGGGAUGUAGAUUCCACUUAUGGCAUAAACAACACAAAUGAAUGGAUUUACCUCUUAUUAUUAUUCUUGUUUAACUAGGGAUUCAUUUCCAAAAUUAUCAAGUCUCAUUUUCAUGAUGAAAUGGCCUAGACCAAUAUAGUUUUCCCUAUUUUCAUGGUGAAAUACUACUACUACUCUGUUUUAUUUCAUGAAAUGCUGAAUAAUCCACCUAAGUGUAUCUCUAUUUUCAUGAACAUACAACUUAAGCUCUACUCAUUUAUUUCCAUUGUUACUACCAAUUCUCAUUGAAUAAUAACAACUAUAAACAUACUAUUGGUGAUCAAUCAAUAACAAGUAAUCACAACUACACAAGUAAACAAGUUAAUACAAAAUAUAACAAGUGUAAAUCACAUUCAAGUCAUAUUAUUUAGCCAUAAGUUUCAUCUACUUCCUAGAUAAAGAAAAUUAGCUACUCAUGAAUGAUUUAACAAUCAAACUCACAAGUUUAUUAAUGCAAAAUAUCAUAAAGUACAAGUACAAGAAAGAUAAAAGAAAUCUUAGCCAAUUGAUGGUGAAUCCCUCCAAUUUCUGCUAUGUUCUUGUACAAGAUGAUUACAACUGAAAACUCCAAAUGCUUCUCUAAGGACUCCUAGCUAGAGAGAAAAUGUUACAAGAAGGAAAAACUAGCUACGUAUGGUCCUGUCCUGCUUCUCCCCUGUGUUUUUGCAUAAAAGGUAGUAGAAAGUCUAUUUUCCUCUUCAUAAUUUCCUCCAUUCAGAUUUUGUAAAAAGAAGUCAAAGAUAUGAUGUUUCCUUUUUUCUACAACUCAUUUGGUCUUCUCUUUUGUUGCAGAAGCAUGUGCCACCGAUUUCUAUCCCUCAAAAUAGUUGAAAAAAUUGUGAGAAAGGUAAAGAAAAACAGCUGUGUCACUUGCUGAGCAGAGAGACAAAUCCGAGCCUCGGAUCCGGGGGUGAAACUGGAUCCGAGGACUUCCCAAGGUGGAUCCGAGGUCGGAUCGUUCUGACCUUGGAUACACUCCUCCAAAAGUACAUACGAGGGCUCGGAUCCCUCUUGUUCACACGGAUCCGAGCUCGAAUCCGUGUUGAUUAAAUUUUCAGUUUUUCACUUCUUUCCUUUUUCUACAUUUUUGCUCCCAAUUUCUUUUGUACUUUGUCCUCUGGAUGAUCCUUGCAUUUCUUUCAACUUCGUGCACGAAUUUCAUACAUCAAUAACCUUCACAAUUUCACAAAAUUAACUCAUUAAUCCACUCAUUUAUCAAGUUUUGAACACUUAAACAAUAUUUUAAGUAAUUAUCACUAAAAGAGUUCAAAUAUGGCUUUAAUCUUCUCAAAACAUGCCAAAGAUUCAUGCCAAAUCUGUACAAAAUGUACGUUAAAUAUUCACUUAUCAAAAAACCUCUAAAAUCUCCUUUUCUUUAUCUUGCUUCUUUGAUUUCUCUAACCUGCUCGGAAAAGGCGGUAAGUUAGUUCCAACUCUAAUUAUAGAAUCAGGAAUUAUCUUUGGAUUCGCAUUUCUCAUUCCUUCCUCCUCAAGCUCUUUGUCAAUUCAAUCUUCAUUUUUAUCUUUCGGAAUCACAAGUUCGGAUCUCUGAAUUUUCUUCCCGUUCCUUAAGAUCAUUGCACUUACAUUUUUCAGGUUCAGUUCAGGUUGAGACGGUAAUUUUUCAUAAACUUGGGAUUCCAGGCGGUUGAUUGCUAUUGCCAUCUAACUCAUCUGAUUCUGCAUUACUUGCAUCUGUCCCAAUUGAUUUUUCAUACUUUGUAGGUCAGAAUCCAUUUUUUGUUGAUUAGCAAUUAAUUGCUUCAUCAUCUCUUCUAUAGACAGACUUGAGUUUGAAGGAGGUGGUGGCGGGCGAGACUGAUACUGUUAUUGAUACCCUUGCUGUCUAUUUGGUGUAAAAUCUGGCUGCCUAUUUCCUCCAUAGUUGAGGUUGGAAUGAUCUCUCCAACCAGGAUUGUAUGUAUUCGUGUACGGGUCGUAUGGCUUUCUUAGCACGGGCGCGUAACCAGCCAUGUUCACUUGCUCCGUACUUUUCUCUUGAAUCAUUGAGCACAUCUCUGUAGAAUGACCCAUAGCAGUGCAGAUCCCACACAAUUUGGCUCGUGAUGUAUUUCCUAUAGCUAAUUGCCUAACAAAGGAUGUUAAUUCGGUCAACUGCUAUUGGAUGGAAUAUGUCUCUACCUCAUUUACUUUGCGUGUCGGGACAUCUUCCCUCGUAUCAAACUGUUACGAAUUCUCCGUCAUUCCUUCAAUUAGCUCCUACGCUUCUCAAGAAAUUUUGUUCACCAAUGCCCCUUCACUUGCAGCAUCAAUUAUACUCCUGUCUCUAAAAAACAGCCCCUCGUAAAAAUAUUGGAUGAGCAAUUACUCACUUAUUUGGUGUUGAGGGAACUUGAUGCAUAACUUCUUGAAUCACUCCCAAUAAUCAUAAAGCGACUCUUCUAGAUACUGCUUGAUACCGCAUAUCUCCUUCCUUAGGCUUGCAGCUCGAGACGCAAGAAAAUAUUUGUUCAAAAACUUUUUCUUCAACUGAUCCCACGUGGUGAUGCUACUUGGUGGUAAGUAGUACAGUCAGUCUUUUGCGGAGUCCUUCAAGGAGAAGCAGAAUGCUCUCAUUUUUAUCUGUUCUUCUGUAAUUUCCGGAGGUUUCAUACUGUUGCAAACGACAUCAAACUCUUGCAAAUACUUAUACGGUUCCUCACCUGCUAAAUCAUAAAAAGAUGACAAGAGAUGAAUUAGACCAGAUUUUAACUCAAAUGGAGUGGUUAUCAUUUAAAUAUGGAAAAGUAAUACAUAAGGGCUGCUGUUUUAAAUCAGGAGCAGCAAACUCCCUUAGUAUCCGUGCAUUAGCCAUAGUGACUUCUUCUCGAUCCGAGUCACUAGAAGUAUCACUAUGUGAAUCUGUUAGUUCAACUUCUGGCUUAGGUCUUUGAGAUGAAGCACUGGAGUGCUCUUCUCUAAGUUGUCCGGUCUCUUUCCUUAUUUUAUGCGCAGUCUUCUCUACCUCGGGGUCAAAAAUUAAUUCACCUGUAUGAGAAGAAUGAGGCAUAUACUAGGAAAGCACUAGAAAAUUAGAACAAAAAUGAACCUAAAAAGAAACAAAUAAACCAACACCAGUCCCUGACAACGGCGCUAAAAAUUGACAGGUUAUCGAUGCCUGUGCAAUAAUAAAAAUAAACCUAGUUGCCAAUUAAAAUAAUCAGAGCCCAAUUCUGAGUACUGGAGCAGGGACUAUAGGUGUGUAAUGGGUUACUUGAUUCACCCUAUUCCCGAAGAGUUUGCUUAACCCGAUAUACCAGAAUGAGAUUGCUUAUUCAAAAUGAAUUGUUGAUUUGUAAACAGGGCAAGUAGGGUCGUAUCCUCAGGGAUUGGAAAAAAUUUGUUUCUUUUCAAAUCCACAGUAACAAGGAGGUGUUUUUGUAUAAACGAUAACAAUCUAAGGAGUGCAAAUAGAAAUAAAUAGAUAACUAGAAAUUAAAUGACAAUUCACUAAAAUUAGAAUAAUAAUAAUUAAAGGUCUAGCCAAGAAAUAAUUUCAGCAAUGGUUCACCUAAUUGAUCAUCGACGCAAAGGCAAUUCCAAUUAUUUACUAAUAAAUAGAUUAUAACUGUCAAACAAGUGAUGAUAGUCAACCCCUCCUUACUGUAUCAGUGAUUAAGGUAUGUCCGUUAAUCACUGCUAUAAUUGAGAAAUAAUCUUAGGUACGUCCGUAAGAUUUAAUUCCCCAAUUGCCUUACGUAUUAGAGGAGCCCUAUUCUAACCAAAUAACGCACUAUCAGGAUUAUUUUAAAUUAGCCCAUGUAUUCCCUUGAUACAAACCCAAUCAUGCCAGUUGUCACUAUUUCAAGGCAAUGAAACAAUUACGGAUUUAAUGCCCUAAUUGACUAUAGGUUACUAAAUCAAUUCACUAUCUCGAUCCAAGAUAAUCAAUCAAUUUAACAACUAAUAGCACUGCAAUCGGAGAAUAUGUAAAUACCAAUAAAUAAGAGGAAAAGAUAAAAUUAAAUCGAUCUCACAAUUUUUAGACAAACCAAAGCAUCAGUUAUUUCUUGACUAGAAAAGAAAAUUUAGUUCAUUCCUAAUGCGAAAGACCCACGCGAGAAUUCAAAAAUAAUAUUCACGGACAUCGUCUUGAUCCAGUAGAUUCAAUUGCGUUGGAAUAAGGAUAAAAAACCAAACUACAGAGAGUGAUUCAUUGUUUUGUUUCGUCUGCACUUUUUCUACACAUACGGAAGAAGAAAAACAACUAAAGGAUGAAAAAAGAAAAGUCAAAGAAAGCCACCCAAAGUAGUGCUUGGUCUCUACCAUCCUAUUUCCUAUCUAAUUACUACUUCCCUUCUGCGGCUGCCUAGAGGAAGAAAGAAAAGGAGACUCCAGGUCUUGUUCCAUCUCCUCCCUUUUCGGCAAUUCCCCAAAAGUAGAAAAGUUCCUCCGUUUACCAAAAUGCCCCUGGAAUGAGGACCGCUACUUGAACUCAUUUCCUGAUGACUGUCAAAUUGACACUUGUUAUGGUAUUUGCGUUCCACUCCCUGUAAUAAAUGCAAAUUGUCAAAAGUGAGUAAAAUUUGACAAUUAAUUUAAAUCGGGUCAGGUAAUAGGGGAAAUUAAUUAUAAAAUAAAUGAUAAAAUUGUAACCUAUCACUUAGAAUAACUAGAAAUAAAACAAAACAAGAAAUGAAAGAAAUAAGAGGGGUAGCAUAGACAUUUUGGAUUUUUCUGUUAAUUUGGAUGAUUUCCACCCACGGUCUAAUUUAAUCCAAAACACAAAUGGAUUAUGUGGAGGUUUUUAAACAAUGAGGGAGUAUCAUGAUCGAAUUCUAAAACACAAAGGGGAUUUACUAUAUUUUACUCUUAAAUUUUGGUUUCAUCUCAUAGCAUACAAGAGUACUAUUUCACUGUCUGUCGACAAAGAUUUUCUAUGGUUGAUGUACCAUAGGAAAAAUCUGCCUAUACCAUCAUUUGGAAAAAUUAUCAAUCCAAACAUAGCCACCAUAGCAUUUUUUCAAAAACACAAGAUGGAAAAUUGUCCCCUUAAACGUUGAAAUUCAUGAUCUUUCCUCGACCUAGUCUACUUGUCAAUUCUUGAAAAAAGAAUAGUCACGCCUAAAACACGGCCUCUUCAUCUGCAGAAUUCUAAAAAGUUAGGUAAACUCUAUAAACAAGUUGAUAGGUACAAUCGUACCCAAGAUCAAGUACAGGUAUUUGUACAUUCACUGCUGCAAUAACUAAUCUGAUGACUUACAAACACAUCAUGGUCAAUCGUUGAAUGGUAAUGAGUCUUUUGUUAUGCAUUAGUAUUAGUGUGUACACUCUAAUAGAUUGAUACUUAUACACUUUAAAUUAUCAUAAUAAUACCCUUAAUUAACUUUAACUCUUAAAAAGAAUACGUGUUAAUACACGAGAGUGUGUAAUAGAACGGCAAGCAUUAUGGUGGUCAUUGAGCAACUUAUAGGAGAAAUAGUCCUAUAAGCUGUUCAAUGACCAAUCACAACUUGCUAAUUGGAUGACUAAUAUAGCUCUAGCUGUAAUGUUUUAAUUAAAUUCCAUCACUAACGUUGGGAUGACUUUUUAACCAAAAAAAAAAGCCUUAGUUCAAGCUCUUCCCUUUAUUGUGCAUUUUUUAAAACAUUUGAUAGGCACUGCAAAUCUGUCAUUUUGGACAUUUUAUUAUUAACUAACCAUGAAAGCCGUGGACAUCAACCCAUAUCCAACAGAAUAUUAAAUUAAUAUUAGAAAAAAUUAUUAAGUAAUUGGAAAAAAAAAAGAAGAGACUAAUUUUCAUUGAAACCCACCGACAAACUAUACGUGUCCAUAGCUUUUGAUUAGUGCAUUCAACGUUUAAUUGUAUAGUCCAGUUCAUAGCCGAUUACAUGGAGUAAAGAUUGUGCUCUUUCCUUUUUCACCCCUUUUGGAAUCGAUACUGUGGAGAAUUGGGUUUUUCCCUCCUUUUUUUCUUUUCUUUCCUUCUGUGCUUUGCAAAACAUAGGUAAAAAUAUGAAAUCCGAAGCAUUCUUUAAUUGGGAUUAAGUAUUGUUCUUGAAAUUAAAAAGAAGAAAGAAAGAACAACAAAAAUCCCAAUCUGGGUUGAUUGUUGAGCUCUAGUUUGGCGGCAUCGUGCUUCCAUAGAAGUUCUCUUAGUGUGAUACGCUGCUUUCAAUCAGUUUAACACGGGAAAAAGAAAAGACAUGAAAAGCAAAUUUUGUGGGGAUAAUUUCAGAAAUCUCUCCUGAAGUUUUUUACUAUUUUACUGGCCUCCUUUCAAAUUUUAAAAAUUACACUAGUCUUCCUUGAGAUUAUUUAUCUUGUAACAUUUAGGUCCAAUCAAUAAUUAAAAGAUGAUAUUAUGAGAGAGAAAAAAAUAUGAUUUUAUCAUUGCCCCCAUCUUACUACAUUAUUGAAUUAAUUUAAUAGCAACCCACACAUUAAAGAAAAAUACUAAUAUUUGCUGUUUUUCAUUGAAGAUCAAAUCACAUGUGCCAUAAAAUAUAGUAUAUCAUUUUAUAUAUUUCACUUAAUGUAAGAUCCAAAUUAUUCUUUUCAAUUACAAAUCCAUUGUUAUUAUAAAAAAAAAAAUAAACUUUAACAUCAUAAAUAUUCUUAUCAAAAUAUUAAAGUUAGUUACUAAAAUUUUUAUGGUGUUAAAGUUCACUCUUUGUAAUAUUUAUGGGUUUGUAAUUGAAAAGAAUAAUUUGGAUCUUACAUUAAGUGAAAUAUAUAGAAUGAUAUACUAUUUUUUAUGGCAUAUGUGAUUCAAUCCUUGAUGAUAAAAAGCAAAUUCAAGUGUUUUCUUUAAUGUUUGUGCUGAUAUUAGAUUAAUUAAAUAAUUUAGUAGAUGAAAGAAAAUAGUGAAAUCAUAUUAUUUUUUCUUUCCUAAUAUCACUUUUUAAUUAUUGGUUGAACUUAGAUAUUACAAAAUAAUAAAUCUCAAGGGAGAUUAGUAUAAUUUUCAAAAUUUGGAGAGAAGCUAAUGAAAUAAUCAAAAACCUUAAGGGAGGUUUACAGAAUUAUCCCAAUUAUGUGGGAAUUAGAAUAAUUGUACUGGACGGCACUGCUGCAAUAGAGGGAAAGAGGAGAAGGUGCAGUUAACUUUUGUUGUUUGAAAUCCUUGGCGAAAUAUUACAGAAAGACAGAUAAAACGGUGGUUAGUACAUAAAUGUUUAUGACAGGGAAAAUGGUACGUCUGUUAAUCACAUUUGAAACAUUUUCAUUGGUGAAUGACCAAAAGUAUCAGGCUUGUCCAAUAGUUGAUCAUUGACCAAGAUAAAACCUGCCAUGGUAGAGCCGUAGAGGUACGAUCUUUUCGUACCUCUUAGUGCACAGGACAUUCCUUUGUUUCAUCUAGCUAAUAAUCUACCAACUCAUUUCUUCACAAAUGCACCUUUUAUGGUCACGUCUACGAAAGCCUUUACAGGAUCUUUACCCUAAAAAUCAAUUCACCGACUCCCAUUUGAUGUCAGAAAUUCUUCUACUUUACUCCAAGAUUGACUGUUAAUAAUAAUGAGACAAUGACCACUUUGAAUUAGGGGUGCGCAAAAUUAUCUGCUAAUCCGAAAAUCCGUCAUAUUCGAUCUGAUCCGAUCCAAAAAUUAGGAUAUUUGAUUUUUAUUAUUUGAUCGGAUCAAAAGAGGGUCGGGUAUCCGCUAAGAUACGGGGCGAGUUAGAGUCACAUAAUUAAAAAUUCGCGGGUAUCCGAUCCGCCCCGCAUAUAUAUAUUUUUUAUUUUUAUACACACUAUAAAAUAAUAAGUUAGAACCAAAUAAGUAAUUUUAUUGAACAAAUUGCAUUACAAAUAUGAGAGACUAUAGUUUAUUUACAAGAUUCAUUUGUAAAGGUCAUGAUCUUAUAUUUUAUAGAAAAAAGUUUAAUUAAUGUGGAACAUAUAUAUUAAAAAUUGUGCUACUUAUUUCAAACUUUUAUUGAUUUUGAUUUCUUUUAAUUUUUUUCCUUUAUCUUAUAUUCUCUUCAUAUGCUUGUUUCUUGGUGGGAAACCUUUUUUUAGAAAAAAAAAAUUAUUAAAUCUUAGAUGAAUGUGUAAAAUAUAAAAUUAAAUUAGUAUAAAUCAUUUUUUUAAAAAAAUUAAAUGAUAAACGGGACGGAACGGGUACCCGCUGAUCCGACCCUAUCUUAUCGGGUACCCGCUGAUAUGCGGGGCAGGUAAAAAUCAGAAAAUGACUGACCUGUAAGGUGCAGGUCGAAUCAAUCAAAUGGUGAAUGGGACGGGUAUACGACCCGCGCCAACACCUACUUUGAAUUAUCACACCAUCCUUCUUGAUAGGAUUGGUACUAGAGGUAGGGAGGGGAGUCGGCUGCAUCCGGUCUUCUUUUCAUAGAUGUCAUUCACGCAAUAUUAUAUUUCGAAGUCAUUGCAUGGCUAAGCUGCAAAAAAGUACGAACACUUGUUAUUAUAUAGCUUAAGAUUCAAAACGUUAGAGCAUAACCCUCCACCUAACACAAUUGAAUAAUGAAUAUUCACGAUUGUCAAAUCUGUCAAAGCACAGUUUGAGGACAACCCAUUCCAACCUGCAAAAGAUUUUUUACUUUUCUAAAGUUGUUGAGAGCUGUAAAAAGACUUACCAUGCUUACAUCUUCCGAGCCUUGGGAGUUAAAAAUGAAGGCACUGAGUGCUAUAAAAAGGGGGCUAGAGGCUGCCUAGAAGCAUAUCAGCCUAAAACAAGAAUUUGUAGUUAUGAUGGGAAGCAAAGCAAAAGCAAUGGGGUCUGGGCUGACUCCUCUUCUUACCACUCUUUUAGUGGUAUUUGUUGCUCUUGGCUUGCCCUCAGAAACUGCAGCUGAUGAUCACUACAAGUAUUCAUCUCCUCCUCCUCCUUACCACUAUCCCUCACCACCACCUCCAGAGCAUUUACCUCCACCAGUGUACAAAUACAAGUCCCCACCACCACCUCAUCAUGUUUACAAGUACAAAUCUCCACCACCCCCACCACCACACCCAGUUUACAAGUAUAAGUCGCCACCACCACCUCCUCAUCCGGUACCACACCCAGUUUACAAGUAUAAGUCACCACCACCACCUCCUCAUCCGGUACCACACCCAGUUUACAAGUAUAAGUCACCACCACCACCUCCUCAUCCGGUAUACAAGUAUAAGUCUCCUCCGCCACACCACACCCAGUUUACAAGUAUAAGUCACCACCACCACCUCCUCAUCCGGUACCACACCCAGUUUACAAGUAUAAGUCACCACCACCACCUCCUCAUCCGGUAUACAAGUAUAAGUCUCCUCCGCCACCACCACACCCAGUUUACAAGUAUAAGUCACCACCACCACCUCCUCAUCCGGUACCACACCCAGUUUACAAGUACAAGUCACCACCACCUCCUCCCCCAGUUUACAAAUACAAGUCUCCACCACCACCAGUUUACCACUACAAGUCACCACCACCUCCUCCCCCAGUUUACAAAUACAAGUCUCCACCACCUCCUCACCACUACUAAGCAAUUGCUUCUGAGGUAAUAACACUUGUUCAAUAUACCCACUUCUGCAUGAUAAAACAUAUCUCUAUCAACACAAACUGUCAUGUCUAUCAUGCUAAGUGCCUUCACUUCAUCCACCAAAAUGACUGCUAGAAAAUUUUUUUUAUGUUACCAAAGAAAGGCAUCAUUUUUUCCCUCUGUUAUCAAGAACUUGUACAGUAUAUAGAUUAAAGAGUUUUUUUUUAACUAGCUUAUCAACUUAGAAAUGCAUAUAGCUGAUAGCCAGCUGAAUAUUUGCAGGCA
rnacentral:lncRNA from 1 species